AUUGGACAAUGGGGGCAACCCUGAUCCAGCCAUGCCGCGUGCGUGAAGAAGGCCCUCGGGUUGUAAAGCUCUUUUGUCCGGAAAGAAAAGCACCUGGUUAAUACCCGGGUGUUCUGACGGUACCGGAAGAAGAAGCACCGGCUAACUACGUGCCAGCAGCCGCGGUAAUACGUAGGGUGCAGGCGUUAAUCGGAAUUACUGGGCGUAAAGCGUGCGCAGGCGGCCUCUCAAGUCAGAUGUGAAAGCCCCGGGCUUAACCUGGGAACUGCGUUUGAAACUGGGGGGCUAGAGUGCGGCAGAGGGGGGUGGAAUUCCACGUGUAGCAGUGAAAUGCGUAGAUAUGUGGAGGAACACCGAUGGCGAAGGCAGCCCCCUGGGCCUGUACUGACGCUCAUGCACGAAAGCGUGGGGAGCA
rnacentral:rRNA from 1 species